ACCAAAAGCGUCAACUGCAAACGCUUCUCUUUAUGAAAAGCCUCUCUACUCCAUUUCUCUUCUCAUUUCAGUACAAAAGGAAGUCGUCCACUCCUGAAACGAAACAAGUGAAGUAGGAGACUCUUAACAGAUACAUUUCCCUCCAGUGACUGCAGACAGAAUCUAGGAUGACUUGAUCAGGUUAAACACCAAAUGCAUACACAGGUAUCCACUGUCUGGAGAAGAGUCCCCAUCAGGACUUCGGCCCCUUGUCUUUGCCGCCUCUCUAAAUAUAGAUGACAGUUCCUCAAUGAAUGUGGCAGCUUUGUCACACAGCUUGUUCCUGAAAGGAACGUCUCCUUGGGAUGCUGAUUCAGACUUCGUGGAGGGCACACCUGAAGCAUGCUUUUCUGAAUGUUUCAGGCUCCUAAUGUAGCUGGGACUAGCAGCUAGCGAAGGUGAGGUGCUUUCUUGCUUCCUGGAGACUGUGACAAAACUACUCGCCAUUUUCGGUGAGGUGAAUUGCUCUUUCUGAUUCACUGGAGGAAUGUGACUUGCUGAAGAUGAAGUCAGGCUGCUUGCUUGAGACCUCUGUGAAGCACCUUGCUCGUGCACUUCGGUAUCCCGAAAAGAAGCAUGCUCUAAAGCACAAGAAACAGAAGUACUGAAAUGAGUCAACUCCGGUGCUAUAUUCUGAUCCUCCUUCAUGGAACUGGCAAUUGAUUCCCGAGCUAUGUCAAGACUUUUACAUAUCUCCUCCUGGGAUUAAGAUGAGUUGCCUGCUUCUUUAAAGCCAACAAAGACGACUGUUCUCCCAAGGCAAAGGUCAACGUCAAAUCCCUCUUAUUGAAAUUCAUGUGUCCUAUCGGUCGCUAGAAUGUGGAUGAUCUGAUCUUAAAAGUAACUGUUUUGUCCGCAAGCUAUUUAAUUAAAUCAAGCAUCAAUAUUUUUAAUUAUCCUUGACAGUUCUCUUCUGAUGAUGGUUUGCGUGAGAUUCAUUCUACACAAGAUAUUCAUAAAACCAUUUUUUCCUUCUAAUGCUCCAAAGCAUUGUUUCACCAAAAUACAGGUGGCUGGGCAGCCAUGAGAUGCACUCAGAUCUAUUUUACAUCAGCUUGUGCAAGCUCCAAUAACCUUUAGUCACUUCCCCGGGGCUUAUCUGGCAUGUAUUCAUUAACUGACUGAUAGAUUAUUGGAAUUCUUGGCCUGGCAUAUGCAUCUCUUGCUAUCUCUACUUGUCUUGCCAACAGAUUACAACUUAAUGCACAAAAGAAAUACAAGCAAAGCAACGUGGUUUUUUUAGUAUUUGAAAUGUGUUUUUGUAGAAUAUGUUGACAGGUGCCUUCUUCGAUGGCAUCCUCUUUGAUGGGAUUACACCUUUCUUCCUUUUUAUCUGUGUUCACAGGGCAAGAAAUUUAGCAACCAUGCCAAUGCAUUGUUAACAUAAUCUAAAAAAGGAUGUACAGUACACUUGAUUACCAUACAGCAGCUUGAAAGAAUGAAUCUGAGAAGCCAAGAGCACAGUUGGUCUAGAGUCUCAGCUGUUCAGGCAUAAGCUUAACAGAUGCCUGCAAACAAAGGGUUAAAUCUGCAGACCUUAGAUUUUAAAAUGUCAUAUUGAAAUGAACAAAUAUACUAGUUUUCUACUUGGAUAAUUUGUUAUUGUAAAUUUCUGUGCUUAAACGUUAUCUUUAUU